rnacentral:rRNA from 1 species
GUAAGGAAUAUUGGUCAAUGGGGGCAACCCUGAACCAGCCAUGCCGCGUGAAGGAUGAAGGCGUUAUGCGUUGUAAACUUCUUUUGUAUGGGAAGAAUGACAGGGAUUUAUCCUUGGAGAGACGGUACCAUACGAAUAAGCACCGGCUAACUUCGUGCCAGCAGCCGCGGUAAUACGAAGGGUGCAAGCGUUAAUCGGAAUUACUGGGCGUAAAGCGCGCGUAGGUGGUUUUGUAAGUUGGAGGUGAAAUCCCCGGGCUCAACCUGGGAACUGCCUCCAAAACUGCAUGACUAGAGUACGGUAGAGGGUAGUGGAAUUUCCUGUGUAGCGGUGAAAUGCGUAGAUAUAGGAAGGAACACCAGUGGCGAAGGCGACUACCUGGACUGAUACUGACACUGAGGUGCGAAAGCGUGGGGAGCAAACAGGAUUAGAUACCCCUGUAGUCC